rnacentral:rRNA from 1 species
UACAGAGGUGGCAAGCGUUGUUCGGAAUUACUGGGCGUAAAGGGCGCGUAGGCGGCCCGUCAAGUCCCGUGUGAAAGCCCCCGGCUCAACCGGGGAACGGCGCGGGAAACUAGCAGGCUUGAGUUCGGGAGAGGGAAGCGGAAUUCCGGGUGUAGCGGUGAAAUGCGCAGAUAUCCGGAGGAACACCAGAGGCGAAGGCGGCGCGCUGGGCUGCAACUGACGCUGAACCACGAAAGCCAGGGUAGCGAACGGG